GAUGAACGCUGGCGGCGUGCCUAAUACAUGCAAGUCGAGCGAACGGACGAGAAGCUUGCUUCUCUGAUGUUAGCGGCGGACGGGUGAGUAACACGUGGAUAACCUACCUAUAAGACUGGGAUAACUUCGGGAAACCGGAGCUAAUACCGGAUAAUAUUUUGAACCGCAUGGUUCAAAAGUGAAAGACGGUCUUGCUGUCACUUAUAGAUGGAUCCGCGCUGCAUUAGCUAGUUGGUAAGGUAACGGCUUACCAAGGCAACGAUGCAUAGCCGACCUGAGAGGGUGAUCGGCCACACUGGAACUGAGACACGGUCCAGACUCCUACGGGAGGCAGCAGUAGGGAAUCUUCCGCAAUGGGCGAAAGCCUGACGGAGCAACGCCGCGUGAGCGAUGAAGGUCUUCGGAUCGUAAAACUCUGUUAUUAGGGAAGAACAUAUGUGUAAGUAACUGUGCACAUCUUGACGGUACCUAAUCAGAAAGCCACGGCUAACUACGUGCCAGCAGCCGCGGUAAUACGUAGGUGGCAAGCGUUAUCCGGAAUUAUUGGGCGUAAAGCGCGCGUAGGCGGUUUUUUAAGUCUGAUGUGAAAGCCCACGGCUCAACCGUGGAGGGUCAUUGGAAACUGGAAAACUUGAGUGCAGAAGAGGAAAGUGGAAUUCCAUGUGUAGCGGUGAAAUGCGCAGAGAUAUGGAGGAACACCAGUGGCGAAGGCGACUUUCUGGUCUGUAACUGACGCCGAUGUGCGAAAGCGUGGGGAUCAAACAGGAUUAGAUACCCUGGUAGUCCACGCCGUAAACGAUGAGUGCUAAGUGUUAGGGGGUUUCCGCCCCUUAGUGCUGCAGCUAACGCAUUAAGCACUCCGCCUGGGGAGUACGACCGCAAGGUUGAAACUCAAAGGAAUUGACGGGGACCCGCACAAGCGGUGGAGCAUGUGGUUUAAUUCGAAGCAACGCGAAGAACCUUACCAAAUCUUGACAUCCUUUGACAACUCUAGAGAUAGAGCCUUCCCCUUCGGGGGACAAAGUGACAGGUGGUGCAUGGUUGUCGUCAGCUCGUGUCGUGAGAUGUUGGGUUAAGUCCCGCAACGAGCGCAACCCUUAAGCUUAGUUGCCAUCAUUAAGUUGGGCACUCUAAGUUGACUGCCGGUGACAAACCGGAGGAAGGUGGGGAUGACGUCAAAUCAUCAUGCCCCUUAUGAUUUGGGCUACACACGUGCUACAAUGGACAAUACAAAGGGCAGCGAAACCGCGAGGUCAAGCAAAUCCCAUAAAGUUGUUCUCAGUUCGGAUUGUAGUCUGCAACUCGACUACAUGAAGCUGGAAUCGCUAGUAAUCGUAGAUCAGCAUGCUACGGUGAAUACGUUCCCGGGUCU
rnacentral:rRNA from 1 species